UUUCAGAGAUGUCAUUCUGUUAUUCCUAGUUCAUUUAAUGUGUUCAAGGCACAAUGAUAUGAUAGUCUUCAUGGCACAAGUGUGACGUCUUAGGGUAAGCAAAAUUAUUUUGAUGAUCUUAGGGGUAGGGAUUUGGGACGAAAUUUGGAAAAACUUUUGAUUUAGGGUUCGGAUUUUGGGAUUUUGGGGAAGAACAGGAUCUUUGAGAUCAAGACUGAUUUGACUUCCCUUCCUAUACAUCUACAUGUAGGUUAUUUUGCUUUCCUGUUCUAUUUAGAGAGUAUAUGUUUUAUCAUAUGCUAAGGUAAAUCUUUAUUAUAUAUGAUGCGCUUGUGUUGGCAUGCUUAGAUCGUAUCCAUAAUUUAGAGAGCAUAUGUUAGUCAUAGCAACGUACAUAUGAUUCCAUUCUCAUUUGUCUACAGGGAGGAAAUUGUGAGGCCAAAUGCAAUUAGUUUUUCUGCGCGACUACAGCAACCACUGAAUUCCGUAGGGUGAGUGAAGCUUCCUUUCUUCAAUUACCUUUUGCCAUAAGGACUACUCUAAACUUUGGUGUCUAUAUGAUGCAAUGUCCUGUUCUAUUUUCCAAUACUAGUGUUUUUUUGUUGUCUAAAAAUAUAUCUUUGCUUAACAGGUAUCUUUUGAUCUUUAAAAUUGAUACUGCAAUUUCUGAUACAGUGUGGGAUGGAGCAUUAUGGUUCUGAAUCCCAUCUGUAGUUGCUAAUGAUAAAACCUAUACUCUUGUGCUAUUCAUAUGAGAAUGUUUAUCCCUACUCUAGUUCUACAGAGAAUUUGGCUAUGAUUGCAUAACUGUUUUUGUGUUCUGGAUACAACCAUUACGUUAUUGUAGUUUGCUCCCAUUGCAGUUAAAAACCAACAGUUUAGCUGCUCAUCCAUGUCAACAAGCACGAAGGUAAUUUAUGACUUAGUUUAAGACUAGAUCUAAUUCGUGACUGAAUUUUAGAUGCAGUACCUGGUUAUUGGCAGGUGGAGAUUGCACAUGCCUAUGAGAAGAAUAGCGUGGCCUGCUUCAGCAUCUGAUCGAUGAGAAGCACUUCCAGCGGACCUUUGAGAUGAGAACUAGUAUUGUAAAAGUGCUCAUGGUGGCUAUUUUUGAACAAUUUUGUUAUGCAAGCAAAUCAUAUGAGUUGUAUUAUGCAAGCUACCCUCUUAGUUUUGUAGCUACUUGUGUGUAGCUUGCUUAUUGCCUUUGUAUUUUCUA
rnacentral:lncRNA from 1 species